rnacentral:rRNA from 1 species
GACGAACGCUGGCGGCGUGCUUAACACAUGCAAGUCGAACGGAAAGGCCCUGCUUGCCGGGUACUCGAGUGGCGAACGGGUGAGUAACACGUGGGUGAUCUGCCCUGCACUUCGGGAUAAGCUUGGGAAACUGGGUCUAAUACCGGAUAGGAGCCAUCUUUAGUGUGGUGGUUGGAAAGUUUUUUCGGUGUAGGAUGAGCUCGCGGCCUAUCAGCUUGUUGGUGGGGUAAUGGCCUACCAAGGCGGCGACGGGUAGCCGGCCUGAGAGGGUGUACGGCCACAUUGGGACUGAGAUACGGCCCAGACUCCUACGGGAGGCAGCAGUGGGGAAUAUUGCACAAUGGGCGCAAGCCUGAUGCAGCGACGCCGCGUGGGGGAUGAAGGCCUUCGGGUUGUAAACUCCUUUCGCUAGGGACGAAGCUUUUUUGUGACGGUACCUAGAUAAGAAGCACCGGCUAACUACGUG